AGUCGAGGGGCAGCGGGGUAGUGCUUGCACUACUGCCUGCGACCGGCGCACGGGUGAGUAACACGUAUGGAACCUGCCCGCAGCAGGGGGAUAAGCGGAAGAAAUUCCGUCUAAUACCGCGUAAGAACGUUGGGAGGCAUCUCCCGAUGUUUAAAGAUUUAUCGGCUGCGGAUGGCCAUGCGGCGCAUUAGCUAGUCGGCGGGGUAACGGCCCACCGAGGCGACGAUGCGUAGGGGUUCUGAGAGGAAGGUCCCCCACACUGGUACUGAGACACGGACCAGACUCCUACGGGAGGCAGCAGUGAGGAAUAUUGGUCAAUGGCCGAGAGGCUGAACCAGCCAAGUCGCGUGAGGGAAGACGGCCCUACGGGUUGUAAACCUCUUUUGUCGGGGAGCAAAGCGAACCACGUGUGGUUCAUUGAGAGUACCCGAAGAAAAAGCAUCGGCUAACUCCGUGCCAGCAGCCGCGGUAAUACGGAGGAUGCGAGCGUUAUCCGGAUUUAUUGGGUUUAAAGGGUGCGCAGGCGGAGGUGCAAGUCAGCGGUCAAAUUGCGGGGCUCAACCCCGUACUGCCGUUGAAACUGCAUCCCUUGAGUGCGCGAGAAGUAUGCGGAAUGCGUGGUGUAGCGGUGAAAUGCAUAGAUAUCACGCAGAACUCCGAUUGCGAAGGCAGCAUACCGGCGCGCAACUGACGCUCAUGCACGAAAGCGUGGGUAU
rnacentral:rRNA from 1 species